GACGAACGCUGGCGGCGUGCCUAAUACAUGCAAGUUGAGCGCUGAAGGUUGGUACUUGUACCGACUGGAUGAGCAGCGAACGGGUGAGUAACGCGUGGGGAAUCUGCCUUUGAGCGGGGGACAACAUUUGGAAACGAAUGCUAAUACCGCAUAAAAACUUUAAACACAAGUUUUAAGUUUGAAAGAUGCAAUUGCAUCACUCAAAGAUGAUCCCGCGUUGUAUUAGCUAGUUGGUGAGGUAAAGGCUCACCAAGGCGAUGAUACAUAGCCGACCUGAGAGGGUGAUCGGCCACAUUGGGACUGAGACACGGCCCAAACUCCUACGGGAGGCAGCAGUAGGGAAUCUUCGGCAAUGGACGAAAGUCUGACCGAGCAACGCCGCGGGAGUGAAGGAGGUUUUCGGAUCGUAAAACUCUGUUGGUAGAGAAGAACGUUGGUGAGAGUGGAAAGCUCAUCAAGUGACGGUAACUACCCAGAAAGGGACGGCUAACUACGUG
rnacentral:rRNA from 1 species